rnacentral:rRNA from 1 species
AUGUGGCGGGGUUGCGCGCCCGCGGGGCUGGUGGUGGCGCAGAAGAACUCCAUCGGUCGAUCCAGCUGGAGCGUGAGGACGGGGCCGACGGCGGCAGGCGGGGACGACGAGCCCAUGAAUCUCCACCCCCAGCACCUCGGCCCCUGUGACCGGCAAUCACCACGCGCACGAGGCUCCCUCCUCCACCGUCAACACGGCGCCGCGCACCGGCAUCUUGGUCGACUGCUGCAUCCGCCGACCACCAUCGAGGAUUCGAAUCACACCAGCUUCACACGCCUCUUCCCGCUCCUCGCCUCGCCGCCGCACACCUCCUCUCCUGACAUCGCGCAGCUUCGGGUACGACGCAGGCUGCAUAACUGCCGAUGGGCUCGCCGCCUGCGCAAGGGCUCUCUCUCGCUCCUCUGUCCCAUGCGCGAUGAAGAAAUGGCGAGAGAGUGGGGAACGAAGAAAAGGAUAAGAGAGAGGGGUGCGGCCGUGCGUGCGUUCGGGGACGAGGCGAGUUUUUCCGAACGGGAAUACUGGAUGAGAUGCCAAGCUCAUCCAUCUUGCAACAAAGGUCUGUUGCCAUCUCUUCCUUUUUGGAUGAGCAAUAACAGUUCAGAAGUGCCCCAAAGGUUCCAUGGAUUUUGGUGGAUCGGGAAGACUGUCAAACAAUUUUUCAGCUGUCGCAAGGCCACUCACUUUGUAGAUGAGAUCCAGACGAAUUAUUUGGUUGACCGACAGGAGUUCCUACGUGAAGCAGUCGUCUGUGUCCAGAUCAAGUUGAGAUUGAUCGGUGCAAGCUUCAAGUCCCGAGGCUCCAAAGCAAAUCAGCAAGUCGCCAAGUUCGGCUGCCUCUCCCCGAGGAGGUCCAGUACUACUCACAUUUAUUCUUUCAUGAAGUACAAUUUUCCGCUGCUGGACCGUGACACAAGGUUUACCUUAUGGCAAGUCAAGAUGAGGGCGUUGUUGGCACAGUCCGAUUAUGAUGAAGCACUGGAUAGUUUUGGGAAAAAUAGAAUUCAAGAUUGGACUGAUGAGGAGAAAAGAAUUGAUUGUAAGGCUUUGUCACAAAUUCAACUCCAUUUGCAUAAUAAUAUUUUGCAGGAAGUUUUGAGCGAGAAAACAGCCGCCGCUCUAUGGUUAAAGCUGGAAGGGAUUUGCAUGACAAAAGAUCUUACUAGCAAGAUGCAUCUGAAGCAAAAAUUAUUCCUGCACAGGUUACCCGUGGAAGUUUAUGAAGCUUUGGACUCUAAGGAGAAGAUGAAAUUAGUGGUGCCUCAUGAUGGUUCGAGUUCAUCCCAAGCCGAGGGAUUAUCUGUUCGUGGCAGGACAAAGGAGAAGAACUCCAAUAAUGGAAACAGAGGCAAAAGUAAAAACGGCUACAGGGGCCGGUCGCAAUCCAGAGACAAGAAGUAUUGCAGGUAUUGCAGGUAUUGCAAGAGAGACGGACAUGACAUCUCUGAGUGUUUCAAGUUGCAGAACAAGGAAAAGAGGAAAGGUAACAAACAAGGUAAAAAUUCUGCUAACGUUGCUCGUGAUGAUAGUUCCGAUGAUGCUCUUGUCGUUAUUGCUGGAUGUGCUGAGACCAAUGAUGAGUGGGUACUUGAUACUGCAUGCACUUUUCAUAUGUGUCCACAUAGAGAUUGGUUUACUACUUUUGAUUCCACUACUUCUGCUAGUUCCGUUUUGGGUUUUGAUAAUUCACCAUGCAAGAUUGAAGGCAUAGGUUCUAUUCGAAUCAAGAUGUUUGAUGGCAUAAUCAGAACUUUGAUAGAUGUUCGGUAUAUUCCGAAGAAGAAGAGAAAUCUUAUUUCUAUGAGUGCCCUUGAUGCAAAGGGGUACAAGUAUUCAGGUGGAGAUAGUGUUUUGAAAGUCACCAAAGGUUCCCUUGUUGUGAUGAAAGGUGACUUAAGUUCGACCAAUGGUCUUUAUUACCUUCGAGGUUCUACCGUUUCAGGUUUUAAAUUGUGGAAUCCUGAAACCCAGAAGGUUGUUAUUAGCAGGAACGUUAUCUUUAAUGAAUCUGCUAUGUUACAUGAUGUUCCAUCUACUAAUGUUCCUGUUGAGAGUGAACAGCAGCCUACUAUUCAACAGUCUAUUGUUCAGGUGGAGCAUGUUAUUGAAACAGGUGAUACAUCUGGUAAUGAAAUUAUUGAUGCACAUGAUGAACCCGUCGUUGAUGAUGAACAUGUCACUCCCACUCCAAAUCAGCCUAUUGUUCCACCCAGUUGGAAUCUUGCACGUGACAGAGUUAGACGGGGUAUUAAUAAACCUGACAGGUUAAUUGAAGAGUGCAAUAUUGUUUCUUUUGCUUUAUCUGUUGCAGAAGAAAUUGAAGGUGUUUAUGCUGUUUUGGAUGGAGUUAUUCACUUUCUUCGACUACUGGAGGGAAUUUGGCUCAAGGUGGAGAUUGUUAAAUUGUGA